ACUGUUAUUCUCCUUACUCCUCUCACCCUUUCUAGACCCGAACCACCAGGGAAAGCUCUUCCAGAUCUCCUCCCCUGCCUUCCCUGCCACCCUGUCUAAUCAUUUUUAUGCCUGCCCAAUGAAAUCUAGAGAGAAGACAUCGCAAUUACCCAGUGAAAUCCAGAAAGAAGACCUUGCGAAUGAUUGCAAAACUCUAUACUCUUAUGUUAGCCCACACUCUGAAUUUUGCAAUUUUUCUGAGCUUUCCGUGUUCUUCUUACCAGCUUAUAUGUGGUGUUUGGCAUCUGCUGCUCUCACGCUCUGUCCCAGGCUCCUUUUUAUCUAAUCAUGAACAUCAAAACCAAGGUCAUGAGUAAGAAGAAACAUAAUCAAGUGUACGAAGUAACAUCGCAUAACUAAAAGAUCUGAGAGCCUUGGAUUCCAAUCCCAUAUCUGCCGAAAAAGCAUCUCUCAACAAUGGACUUUUACCUGAAGUUUAUGGAUCUAUGAAGACUACUAGUUAUUCUUAUAAUGAUAAUGGCUUCUAUGUUAAUUCUCUUCCAGUUUUCUGUUUUAAAAAUAUUUUGUUAUUGGAGAUUUCAAAUAUACACUAAGUGGAAAGAUUAAAAACAAACAAACAAACAAAAAAACUUUGCAGGUAUC